GGGUUGUGAGGUUAAGCGACUAAGCGUACACGGUGGAUGCCCUGGCAGUCAGAGGCGAUGAAGGGCGUGCUAAUCUGCGAUAAGCGCCGGUAAGGUGAUAUGAACCGUUAUAACCGGCGAUACCCGAAUGGGGAAACCCAGUGUGAUUCGUCACACUAUCAUUAACUGAAUCCAUAGGUUAAUGAGGCGAACCGGGGGAACUGAAACAUCUAAGUACCCCGAGGAAAAGAAAUCAACCGAGAUUCCCCCAGUAGCGGCGAGCGAACGGGGAGGAGCCCAGAGCCUGAAUCAGCAUGUGUGUUAGUGGAAGCGUCUGGAAAGGCGCGCGAUACAGGGUGACAGCCCCGUACACAAAAGCGCAUGUGUUGUGAGCUCGAUGAGUAGGGCGGGACACGUGGUAUCCUGUCUGAAUAUGGGGGGACCAUCCUCCAAGGCUAAAUACUCCUGACUGACCGAUAGUGAACCAGUACCGUGAGGGAAAGGCGAAAAGAACCCCGGCGAGGGGAGUGAAAAAGAACCUGAAACCGUGUACGUACAAGCAGUGGGAGCACAGGUUUACCUGUGUGACUGCGUACCUUUUGUAUAAUGGGUCAGCGACUUAUAUUCUGUAGCAAGGUUAACCGAAUAGGGGAGCCGGAGGGAAACCGAGUCUUAAUUGGGCGUUAAGUUGCAGGGUAUAGACCCGAAACCCGGUGAUCUAGCCAUGGGCAGGUUGAAGGUUGGGUAACACUAACUGGAGGACCGAACCGACUAAUGUUGAAAAAUUAGCGGAUGACCUGUGGCUGGGGGUGAAAGGCCAAUCAAACCGGGAGAUAGCUGGUUCUCCCCGAAAGCUAUUUAGGUAGCGCCUCGUGAAUUCAUCUCCGGGGGUAGAGCACUGUUUCGGCUAGGGGGCCAUCCCGGCUUACCAACCCGAUGCAAACUGCGAAUACCGGAGAAUGUUAUCACGGGAGACACACGGCGGGUGCUAACGUCCGUCGUGAAGAGGGAAACAACCCAGACCGCCAGCUAAGGUCCCAAAGUCAUGGUUAAGUGGGAAACGAUGUGGGAAGGCCCAGACAGCCAGGAUGUUGGCUUAGAAGCAGCCAUCAUUUAAAGAAAGCGUAAUAGCUCACUGGUCGAGUCGGCCUGCGCGGAAGAUGUAACGGGGCUAAACCAUGCACCGAAGCUGCGGCAGCGACGCUUAUGCGUUGUUGGGUAGGGGAGCGUUCUGUAAGCCUGUGAAGGUGUGUCGUGAGGCAUGCUGGAGGUAUCAGAAGUGCGAAUGCUGACAUAAGUAACGAUAAAGCGGGUGAAAAGCCCGCUCGCCGGAAGACCAAGGGUUCCUGUCCAACGUUAAUCGGGGCAGGGUGAGUCGACCCCUAAGGCGAGGCCGAAAGGCGUAGUCGAUGGGAAACGGGUUAAUAUUCCCGUACUUGGUGUUACUGCGAAGGGGGGACGGAGAAGGCUAUGUUGGCCGGGCGACGGUUGUCCCGGUUUAAGCGUGUAGGUGUGUGUUCCAGGUAAAUCCGGUUCACUUUAACACUGAGGCGUGAUGACGAGGCACUACGGUGCUGAAGCAACAAAUGCCCUGCUUCCAGGAAAAGCCUCUAAGCAUCAGGUAACAUCAAAUCGUACCCCAAACCGACACAGGUGGUCAGGUAGAGAAUACCAAGGCGCUUGAGAGAACUCGGGUGAAGGAACUAGGCAAAAUGGUGCCGUAACUUCGGGAGAAGGCACGCUGACACGUAGGUGAAGUGAUUUACUCAUGGAGCUGAAGUCAGUCGAAGAUACCAGCUGGCUGCAACUGUUUAUUAAAAACACAGCACUGUGCAAACACGAAAGUGGACGUAUACGGUGUGACGCCUGCCCGGUGCCGGAAGGUUAAUUGAUGGGGUCAGCGCAAGCGAAGCUCCUGAUCGAAGCCCCGGUAAACGGCGGCCGUAACUAUAACGGUCCUAAGGUAGCGAAAUUCCUUGUCGGGUAAGUUCCGACCUGCACGAAUGGCGUAAUGAUGGCCAGGCUGUCUCCACCCGAGACUCAGUGAAAUUGAACUCGCUGUGAAGAUGCAGUGUACCCGCGGCAAGACGGAAAGACCCCGUGAACCUUUACUAUAGCUUGACACUGAACAUUGAGCCUUGAUGUGUAGGAUAGGUGGGAGGCUUUGAAGCGUGGACGCCAGUCUGCGUGGAGCCGACCUUGAAAUACCACCCUUUAAUGUUUGAUGUUCUAACGUGGACCCGUAAUCCGGGUUGCGGACAGUGUCUGGUGGGUAGUUUGACUGGGGCGGUCUCCUCCUAAAGAGUAACGGAGGAGCACGAAGGUUGGCUAAUCCUGGUCGGACAUCAGGAGGUUAGUGCAAUGGCAUAAGCCAGCUUGACUGCGAGCGUGACGGCGCGAGCAGGUGCGAAAGCAGGUCAUAGUGAUCCGGUGGUUCUGAAUGGAAGGGCCAUCGCUCAACGGAUAAAAGGUACUCCGGGGAUAACAGGCUGAUACCGCCCAAGAGUUCAUAUCGACGGCGGUGUUUGGCACCUCGAUGUCGGCUCAUCACAUCCUGGGGCUGAAGUAGGUCCCAAGGGUAUGGCUGUUCGCCAUUUAAAGUGGUACGCGAGCUGGGUUUAGAACGUCGUGAGACAGUUCGGUCCCUAUCUGCCGUGGGCGCUGGAGAACUGAGGGGGGCUGCUCCUAGUACGAGAGGACCGGAGUGGACGCAUCACUGGUGUUCGGGUUGUCAUGCCAAUGGCACUGCCCGGUAGCUAAAUGCGGAAGAGAUAAGUGCUGAAAGCAUCUAAGCACGAAACUUGCCCCGAGAUGAGUUCUCCCUGAGACUUAGAGUCUCCUGAAGGAACGUUGAAGACGACGACGUUGAUAGGCCGGGUGUGUAAGCGCAGCGAUGCGUUGAGCUAACCGGUACUAAUGAACCGUGAGGCUUAACCUUACAACGCCGAAG
rnacentral:rRNA from 1 species